rnacentral:rRNA from 1 species
GGGGGGGGGGGGGGGGGGGGGGGGGGGGGGCGGGGCGGGGGGGGGGGCGGGGGGGGGGUGGGGUGGGCGGGGGGCGAGGGGGGGGGUGGGACGGGGGUCACCUGCCCUUGGCUGUGGGGUAAGUUCCGGGAACUGGGGCUCAUACCGGCGAGGAGGUCCUGCUGCGUGGUGGGGGUUGGAACGUUUCGGCGGUUGGGGAUGGACUCGCGGCUUAUCAGCUUGUUGGGGGGGUAGUGGCUUACCAAGGCUUUGACGGGUAGCCGGCCUGAGAGGGGGACCGGCCACAUUGGGACUGAGAUACGGCCCAGACUCCUACGGGAGGCAGCAGUGGGGAAUAUUGCACAAUGGGCGGAAGCCUGAUGCAGCAACGCCGCGUGCGGGAUGACGGCCUUCGGGUUGUAAACCGCUUUCGCCUGUGACGAAGCGUGAGUGACGGUAAUGGGUAAAGAAGCACCGGCUAACUACGUG